UAUACUUCUUAUAAAUUAAAAUUAUAUAUAAUUAAAGAAGAAAAGUUAAACAAAAUAAUUAUAUAAUUAAAACCAUGAUAAUUUCACUCGAGCCCGAGUUAAAAUUGAACCAAGAAAUAAAAAUUAAAACUAAGAAAAUGACACGUCCAAGCUCAAAGGAAACGUGAAUUACAAACAAAGGAGCCGUGAAAAGCAAGCGAACUGACCAAAGAAAAGAAAACAGAGGAAUAAAGACAAGGUUUGAUUCUGCAAAUCAUAGUGCUAGGACAGAGCAAAUAGUUUGUAUCAAAGUGAGAACCAGGAGCACAACUGCAGCAACAGUCCCAGUACCUAUCCAAAGAUCACCAAAAUAAACGCUUCUUAAUGCAGCCAUGGUAUGGUUGCAAAAAUUUUCAUAGUAGCCAUUCAGCUGUUCAGAGAUGAAAUAGUAACAGGACUGGACUUCCGCAAUUUGAUUGCACAGUUUGUUAACAAGGUCGGCCACAGCAGCACUGUCGCCCAGCCCAUUAACAAUUAUUUUCUUCCCAACAAGCAAAUCCACAUCUUCAGCUGUGUCAAUAAGAAAAUCCCACAGCCUAAUGUAACUGCAGAUGUAAGUUUCGUAUGGAUAAUGACAUUGUUCAAGGGCCAUAAGAUUUCGAACCACAUAUUCUGUGGUAUCGUCAAUAUCAAAGCAAGGAAGUUGUAACUCAGCUCUCCAAAGACAUGGUAUUCCCCUUACAAAUUUAAUGUUGAGGAAGCAUUCAUUUCGAGCCGGCUUCAGCUUCAAUCCUGCCCGGUGCAGCUUGGUUAUGCUACAAAGACUUUCAAUGCUUUUAGCGUGCAUUAUUGGAGGGUGCUCAAAAGACCAAAAAUAUCUAACCAAAUCAGUGAAAUGUAAUGGUUUUCGGUUCACAGGGUUUGGAAUCUUUUCUAUUUUCCUGGGCUUGUAGUUGGAGAAGUAUGUGCAGGUGAGGUCAAGAAAAGGUGGGUACUCGAUUUCAUAAAUAUUUUUUUUGGCAAAGUCGUAUAUUUUCUCAAGAAAGGCAAAGGGUAGCUGAUUUUCAAGUAAAACCAAGUCUUGCUGUACAUCAGUUCGCAGCCAGGGUUUGCCUAUUAUAAAAUCUUUGGCAUGGUCUUUGGUAUGUUCUUUUUCUUCGUGAUUUCUCAAGAAGAGCUCAAGGAUGAAAACACUAUCUAACAAAAUCAUAUUAACCAAUUCAGUGUUGCAGGUUUGAGAUAUAUCAUCAUAAUAACCUCGGAUGUCUUCUUCACUAAUUAUAUUAAUAAGAUCACUCAAAAAUUCGCUUUCUGUUUUGCUCUCCUGCCUUUUGCAAAAUUCUUUUAAAUAUCUCAGCUUCUGGAUUUCCAUAGCCUUGAGUUCUGUUUUGUGGUGGUGAAUAGGGCCUAUAGAAAUUACCUGAGGAGUGUAGGCUUCUUCAUGGAUUUUGCGAAGUGUAGGAGGCACCCUGUAGAUACAUACAGAAUUGGAAAAGGUAGUCUCUAAAUUUUCUGGAAUGUCAAUUAUCAGUUGAUUGAGUGGUUUUUGAGUUCCCUUGGAAGUGCUUGCUGAGUUAUCCUCCCCCAUCUGUCAAGUUUCCCACCAAUAUUAAGUAUCAAUCGUAUCGUUUUCACCAGGAUAAUGGCCUGUGAAACUCUAAAUGAAGCAUGGGAGAAGUUAAAGGCGAAACUUGAAAAGACAGAAAAAUGGACAUUUGCAAUGCGGGAGGAGUUUGGAAUGAUCGAUAAACAUAAUAUAUAGGAGAUGGUGGAUAGACCUGAAUCCAAAAAAUACAACAAGUGUCAAAUGAAUGUCAAGGAAGCAAGAUGUUGUCCCUCAGUUAACAGCAAAAGCACAGUAAAUGGGCACUACUUUUAUUGCUAACCAAGCGACAAUGCUAAUGAAAGUUCUUAAUGAUUUGUGUCAAGAUCAACAUGGAAGAAUUGUCAUCAAGGUAAGAUAAUCAAUUUGUUAUUGUGAUGGCUUAAAAUCUAGUGCAACAUGGAUGCACAAAGCAUAUGAAUAUCAAAUUUCAUGCUGUAAGAUGAGCUAAAAAGGAAGGAAAAGUGCAGCUGAUUCAUUGAAGUUUAG
rnacentral:misc_RNA from 1 species